UGGCGGACGGGUGAGUAAUGUCUGGGAAACUGCCUGAUGGAGGGGGAGUAACUACUGGAAACGGUAGCUAAUACCGCAUAACGUCGCAAGACCAAAGAGGGGGACCUUCGGGCCUCUUGCCAUCGGAUGUGCCCGGAUGGGAUUAGCUAGUAGGUGGGGUAACGGCUCACCUAGGCGACGAUCCCUAGCUGGUCUGAGAGGAUGACCAGCCACACUGGAACUGAGACACGGUCCAGACUCCUACGGGAGGCAGCAUG
rnacentral:rRNA from 1 species